GUAGUUUCAGGUUCAUUCGCUAUGUUGAGGAAAAGAUUUUUUGCUUCUAAAAACAACGUCUUUGAUUUCUAUCAAGCCUUCCUCGAUUUUAGAUGAUCAGUUGGUGACAUGUAAUCGGACAAGAAUGUGAUAAUAUAUGGAACACAUUUACCAGGCACGUUCACUAUACAUCCAGUGUGAUUUUGAAACAAAGUUACCGCUGCCAAAUGUAAAGCCAUUGCAGGCUCGUUCUCUUGUCUGAACUGCUCUAACAAGUUUUGACGAUGCUCGGCCAACAAUGUUCUUAAAGAAAUAUGACAGUUUAAUACAACGUGACCAUUCCUAACUGGUUGCAUUUGAAAUGAUUGAAAAUUUCUUAUCUAAGGAAAGAAAACUUAAAAUUUUGGAUUUGAUAGAUACGCUUAAGUCGUUUUUAAAAACUAAAAAUAAUGACUGAGACAAAAACAAACAUUCUUUUGUGUUAUGCUCAAUUAAAAUAGACAUUUUUUUAAAAAAAAACACUUAUUAAACACUUAUUUACUUUUCC